rnacentral:lncRNA from 1 species
CAGGGUCUUGAGGCAUAUAUUUUUAUCUUGCAUCUUUGUGAAAUACCUAGGUAUAGUUACGUUUCCGUACACUCAUUAUUUCUUGUUUCUUUGGUUUUUAAUGAGCGGCUACCAGUGAAGAAUCAUAAUGAAAACAAGCACAUCUUCCAUAGAGAAAUAUUCUUCUCAGGCAAGACUGAUUCCCAUUGCAGUCAAAGGAAGUUAUUGCUAUGAUGUAUGGGCACAAGUCAAGGUCCAAAGAUUUUUAUAAUCUAUCACUUUUAUAAUCGUGAUAGAUGGAGUCAAAACUAAUGUUUGAUAUGCUAAGGCCUAAUCCUCUGUAAGACAGCUCUCUUUCUGCUUUGUGUUCUUUUUUAGACAUUUCACCAGCAAAAAAUUAUUGACUAACCAAAACGAGCUCAGGAACGAAGAGCUGAAAAGUAGGAGAAGAAAGAAGAAAUUUAAUCCCUCAUAAUGAGGAGAGGUGACCUGAGCUACAUGGUGAUACAAGGACUUUUGGCAACAUUACAGAAGGACACUGUUGCUUCUAGGACACGUAAAAUUACUGUUGACGACACUUGCAUUUUCCAGCUGAGGAUCUCAGUAAAUACAGGGCUGAUCAGUUAUAAAUGAACCUCUUUGCUCAGAGAGAGGAAGAGAGCACAAGGAAAGAUGACAGUUAUUGAAGACUAUUCCGCAUGUAAAUACUGGUCUGCACACAGUUUAGAAGGAAGCUCCAGAAUAAACAGCACUAGUUUCCAGAUUCUGAAAGAUGCCAUAUGUCAGACUGAUGGGCUAGCUAAAGUAUAUGUUUCCUCCCCGCCAAAGAUGUGCAUAUCCUUCCAGGAAAAACUUACUCUUAAGCAGCAGGUAAGAAAUAUGGGUAACAAUAUUUAGGGAGGAAUAAGGACAUCAUUUAAUAUAUUUAAUCUUAUUAUACAUUUUUCUACAUUAAAGUCAACAGGCUGCAAAUAUAUUCUGCUACAAAGCUUUUUGUAAGAAAUAUCUCUAUAAGAAAAUACAUCUUGUUAAACAUUUCCUGUAAAUAAAUUAUCCCAAGUAACUAAGUUUUGUGAGAGG